CCACAUAAAUGUAUUUGUUAAAUACACAGUCACAUUGUCAAAUCACCCCUUUCUGGUCCUGUGCUGUGACACUCCAGCUGGUACUCUGACCUGAGAGGGUCUCAUGUGCUCUGAGCACAUCCUUCAUCCGAGGAUCAUGGACUUCAUCUAAACAGGCAAAUGAUCCACACUUCAGCAGGCAAAGCACAAAACAGCAUCAGGCAUUUCUUCUGGGUGACUGGACUAAAUCCCCAUCCUGACAGUGAUCUUAAAGUAGAGCGUGCUGAUGGGAGUGACGGCAGUGAUAAGACGAAGACACCACAAACAGAGAUGAGAAGGUUUUGCUUCUAAGUGAGGAUGACAAUGAUUUUGGUUCUGAUGCAACAAGAGAGUCAUCCCUAAAAUAACAGUUGGUGAAAUAGCAGAUAUGCACAUCAAUCUCUGAGUUAUAUUGAAACGAGAUGUGGAUAUUGAGAUCUCAGAUAAGGGUAACACUAUGGAUACCAGCUAACAAGUAAACCAUAAAUUUCCUGUUAAAAUAUUUGGUGGGUGCACUGUCUAUCUUUAACCAGCACAAAUACUGUUCCUUUAAUGUUGUUCCAGACUCACAGCAUCUGACAAAAUAAACAACUGCCCAGGACUUCUCA
rnacentral:lncRNA from 1 species